rnacentral:tRNA from 1 species
UCCCUGGUGGCUCAGACGGUAAAGCGUCUGCCUGCAAUGCAGGAGACCCGAGUUUGAUUCCCGGGUCGGGAA